UGUGAGCUGCAUGCAAUUAUGGGGGGGUGACGCCACCACUACCCCACCACUGUCGUGGACACCUGCAAGGGAGGAGUUGCACGGAGCGAGGAGGAAGAGUCAUUGGAGGACAAAGAGGAGAAGGACAGUGCACAGGCAGCAAGUGGGGAAUCCGUUUUCCCCCCUAGCCAGGAAUUAUUCUUAACGCUGGAGCCAAUAGCCUCCCCCCACUCCCAAGGCGGGCUCCCGGACCAUGACCCUGGAGAAGAUACUUCUGGUGCAAAUAUUUCAACGCGGCCCCUAUCUACUCCAUUCCAGAGGCUGGUCCAAAUUCGAAGGCAGAAAAAACAAACUCAGGACGACAUGUUCGCCGAGCUCAUGCAGUCCUCCCGCGCUGAUAGGGCCCAGCUGAAUGCGUGGAGGCAAACAAUUGCAGAGUCCCGUAAAGCAUUACAGGAACACGAAGAGAGGAGGGACGCGCACAAUGAGAGCACGCAGAAUGCUAUGGUCAAGCUCAUGGGGGAGCAAACUGACAUGCUCCGCUGUAUGGUGGAUCUAAUGCGGGAAAGGCAGCAAGACCAAAGACUGCCACUGCAGCCCCUGUAUAACCGCCUUCCCUCCUCCACAAGUUCCAUAGCCGCCUCACCCAGACGCCCAAGAACAGGAGGGGGGAGGCUACGGGGACCCACACACUCAACCCCAGAGGAUUGCCCAAGCAGCAGAAAGCUGGCAUAUGCGAACUUUUGAUUUGGUUUCUGGACUUGUCCUUCCCUUCUCCUCCACCCCUCUAACCUAAUACCCCUCCCUCCACCGGUCUACCUUCUGAUUUCCCUCAAUGUGUUGUGCAACAAAUAAUAAAGAACAGUUUUUAAACAA